GAUGAAGAACGUAGCGAAAUGCGAUACUUGGUGUGAAUUGCAGAAUCCAGUGAACCAUCGAGUCUUUGAACGCAAGUUGCGCCCGAAGCCAUCAGGUUGAGGGCACGUCUGCCUGGGCGUCACAUAUCGUUGCCCAAUGCCUAUUGCAGUGCAAUAGGAAUUUCUAGGGCGAAUGAUGGCUUCCCGUGAGCGUUGUUGCCUCGCGGUUGGUUCAAAAUCGAGUCCUUGGUAGGGUGUGCCAUGGUAGAUGGUGGUCGAGUUAGAACGAUACCGAUCAUGUGCAUGCUCCCCAAAAUAUGGCCUCUAUGACCCACACGCGUCUUUUGACGCUCAUGACGAGACCUCAGGUCAGGCGGGGCUACCCGCUGAAUUUAAGCAUAUCAAUAAGCGGAGGA
rnacentral:misc_RNA from 1 species